rnacentral:rRNA from 1 species
CCUACGGGAGGCAGCAGUAGGGAAUCUUCCGCAAUGGGCGAAAGCCUGACGGAGCAACGCCGCGUGAGUGAUGAAGGCCUUCGGGUCGUAAAACUCUGUUAUUAGGGAAGAACAAAUGUGUAAGUAACUAUGCACGUCUUGACGGUACCUAAUCAGAAAGCCACGGCUAACUACGUGCCAGCAGCCGCGGUAAU